AAUGUCAAUCACAGUCACCCCAAAUUCAAGAAACUAAGGGCAAGGUUUACAAAUGAAACCUAAGGCACCAACUUCAUCAACAGUUGAAGAAGAGCCACCGCCAGAUAAUGUCGAAAAGAAAGGGAAGUGCACGCACCAUCAUUUUUCCUUGCCCCUUCGAGCGAAAUCAUGGCCUGAAAAUAAAGUCAAGAUGACGGUCUCAAGAUGCUUGGAGUUACAACAUACUCCUCAAGCUCUGAUGGUUCUAUGAUUUCUUCAGGCAUUUUUGUCCAUCGCACAUUGACUGACUACCAUGCAGCUGGGGGUUGGUGGUUCACACAUCUGAUUUUUUCCAUGUGUUUUCUUAUGCACAUACCGGAAAAACUAUAUGCAUGCUACAUCGUGAAGGAAACCUUGAUCAUAAAGUUUUAUUUUGAUAGCAUGUACUUCGGUUCAUCUUCUUUUUUUGCAUGAUUGUCCUGUGAGCAAAAAAUUAUGUUUCUAUCAUGGGAUUUUUUUACAUAUAAUAUGUAUUCUACAAGCGAAACUAUUUAUAUCUUGCAUGGGCAGAAGUUACUUCGCAGCAGAUGUAGUGAUUCUGUUGUCACGCUUCUUUA